AUAAAUUUUGGUUGAUAUCUGAAUCUGAAUCUGAAUAAAUACGUUGCAGGGCCAGUAUAUGGCAUCAGUGGCAACGGGAGAGAGGCGCUGGAAAAUUAGUCCAACGUUGUGAGAGCAACCGAAGUUUUAAAGCUCUCAAUUGUCUUAGCACACACGAGAUUGUCUGGUAGUCUAUUCCAUUCGAGUAUGGUUCUUACAAAGAAUGA
rnacentral:lncRNA from 1 species